GCAGUUGUUGCACAGGCACUUUGGUGACUCUAGAUAACCUUGGGCCAAUCAAACGUGACGGCGACGAUGCAUUCGGAUGUCUGCCCUAUCAACUUUUGAUGGUACUUUCUGCGCCUACUAUGGUGACCAUGGGUAACGGGGAACCAGGGUUCGAUUCCGAAGAGGGAGCCUGAGAAACAGCUACCAAAUCCAAGGAAGGCAGCAGGCGCGCAAAUUACCUACUCCCGACGCGGGGAGUUAGUGAC